rnacentral:rRNA from 1 species
CCCUUAGAUGUUCUGGGCGGCCCGCGCACUACAUUGGCACCAGCAAAGAGAUCCUAGAUUGAAUUCUUUGGGGUAUUCUUCUAAAUGGUGUCGUGACUGGGAUAAAUCCUUGUAAUUAUUGGUUUUGAACGAGGAAUUCCUUGUAAUCGCGGUUUAUCAGCUCGCGUUGAAUGCGUCCCUGCCCUUUGUACACACCGCCCGUCGCUCCUACCGAUGGAUCGUCCGGUGAAGCUCACGGAGUGACUGUUCACGCAACGGUUUACGAAGUGAAAUGGACCUCACGAUUUAGAGGAAGGAGAAGUCGUAACA